rnacentral:tRNA from 1 species
ACCGCUGUGGCGGAAGGCGCCGGCGUGGCUAUCGCUCCCGACGAGGGCGCUUACGCGUUCGAAACGCUUCUGCGCCA